rnacentral:rRNA from 1 species
UACGUAGGGACCAAGCGUUGUUCGGAUUUACUGGGCGUAAAGUGCGCGUAGGCUGCGCGGUAAGUCACUUGUGAAAUCUCUGAGCUUAACUCAGAACGGCCAAGUGAUACUGCAGUGCUAGAGUGUGGAAGGGGCAAUCGGAAUUCUUGGUGUAGCGGUGAAAUGCGUAGAUAUCAAGAGGAACACCUGAGGUGAAGACGGGUUGCUGGGCCAACACUGACGCUGAGGCGCGAAAGCCAGGGGAGCAAACGGG